UGAUCCUGGCUCAGGAUGUACGCUGGCGGCGUGCCUAAUACAUGCAAGUCGAGCGAAUGGAUUAAGAGCUUGCUCUUAUGAAGUUAGCGGCGGACGGGUGAGUAACACGUGGGUAACCUACCCAUAAGACUGGGAUAACUCCGGGAAACCGGGGCUAAUACCGGAUAAUAUUUUGAACUGCAUAGUUCGGAAUUGAAAGGCGGCUUCGGCUGUCACUUAUGGAUGGACCCGCGUCGCAUUAGCUAGUUGGUGAGGUAACGGCUCACCAAGGCGACGAUGCGUAGCCGACCUGAGAGGGUGAUCGGCCACACUGGGACUGAGACACGGCCCAGACUCCUACGGGAGGCAGCAGUAGGGAAUCUUCCGCAAUGGACGAAAGUCUGACGGAGCAACGCCGCGUGAGUGAUGAAGGCUUUCGGGUCGUAAAACUCUGUUGUUAGGGAAGAACAAGUGCUAGUUUGAAUAAGCAUGGCACCUUGACGGUACCUAACCAGAAAGCCAC
rnacentral:rRNA from 1 species